rnacentral:rRNA from 1 species
AGAGUUUUAUCCUGGCUCAGAGUGAACGCUGGCGGUAGGCCUAACACAUGCAAGUCGAACGGCAGCACAGGAGAGCUUGCUCUCUGGGUGGCGAGUGGCGGACGGGUGAGGAAUGCAUCGGAAUCUACUCUUUCGUGGGGGAUAACGUAGGGAAACUUACGCUAAUACCGCAUACGACCUACGGGUGAACGCAGGGGACCUUCGGGCCUUGCGCGAUUGAAUGAGCCGAUGUCCGAUUAGCUAGUUGGCGGGGUAAUGGCCCACCAAGGCGACGAUCGGUAGCUGGUCUGAGAUGAUGAUCAGCCACACUGGAACUGAGACACGGUCCAGACUCCUACGGGAGGCAGCAGUGGGGAAUAUUGGACAAUGGGCGCAAGCCUGAUCCAGCCAUACCGCGUGGGUGAAGAAGGCCUUCGGGUUGUAAAGCCCUUUUGUUGGGAAAGAAAAGCAGCCGGCUAAUACCCGGUUGUUCUGACGGUACCCAAAGAAUAAGCACCGGCUAACUUCGUGCCAGCAGCCGCGGUAAUACGAAGGGUGCAAGCGUUACUCGGAAUUACUGGGCGUAAAGCGUGCGUAGGUGGUUGGUUAAGUCUGUCGUGAAAGCCCUGGGCUCAACCUGGGAACUGCGAUGGAAACUGGCUGACUAGAGCGUGGUAGAGGGUAGCGGAAUUCCUGGUGUAGCAGUGAAAUGCGUAGAUAUCAGGAGGAACAUCCAUGGCGAAGGCAGCUACCUGGGCCAACACUGACACUGAGGCACGAAAGCGUGGGGAGCAAACAGGAUGAGAUACCCUGGUAGUCCACGCCCUAAACGAUG